rnacentral:rRNA from 1 species
GAUGAACGCUGGCGGCGUGCUUAACACAUGCAAGUCGAACGGAAAGGCCCAAGCUUGCUUGGGUACUCGAGUGGCGAACGGGUGAGUAACACGUGGGUGAUCUGCCCUGCACUUCGGGAUAAGCCUGCGAAACUGGGUCUAAUACCGGAUAGGACGAUGGUUUGGAUGCCAUUGUGGAAAGUUUUUUCGGUGUGGGAUGAGCUCGCGGCCUAUCAGCUUGUUGGUGGGGUAAUGGCCUACCAAGGCGUCGACGGGUAGCCGGCCUGAGAGGGUGUACGGCCACAUUGGGACUGAGAUACGGCCCAGACUCCUACGGGAGGCAGCAGUGGGGAAUAUUGCACAAUGGGCGCAAGCCUGAUGCAGCGACGCCGCGUGGGGGAUGACGGCCUUCGGGUUGUAAACUCCUUUCGCUAGGGACGAAGCGUUUUUGUGACGGUACCUGGAGAAGAAGCACCGGCUAACUACGUG